CGGCAAGAUUGGAGUGGCCUUCUGCUACUUGCUUCUGGGGCUUUCUGGAGCUGUUUGUGGACCUCAGGUCUGACACUAGGCUUGUCAAGUCAGUGGGGGGCACAGUAGACUCUGCCAGGUCUGAAUGGGAGCCAGAUUUACUUAGAAGUUGUCUGAAAUACACAUUCGUCUGGAGAAAGAAAAUCUGGCUGAGGUUGCCAACGCCUAUUGCCUGCCACUCCCUGAAGACUCCAACAAUACCGUUCUAUUGCCUCCGUCUGGCACAUUCCCC
rnacentral:lncRNA from 1 species